rnacentral:tRNA from 1 species
GGGCAUGUGGCGGAAUUGGCAGACGCGCCGGACUUAGAAUCCGGUGACCGAAAGGUCGUGUAGGUUCAAAUCCUAUCUUGCCCA